UGUUAUUGUUGGUACCAAUGUUUAAACCGUCUUCACUUGGCAAGGAAAGAAGAACAAACAUAUGUCUUUUACUGUGAUAUGAUUAGUUUGUUGAAAGUUUUCAUAUUCUUUCCAAGUAAUAAUAGUCUACUGUAUUUUCCAAUUGGUAAACAAGACCGUGCCAUUCGUGGUUAUUUGUCCAAUAUGCAGAUGUUUCGUAUUUAUUUAGCAUGUACAGGUAGUGUCCAUUGUUGGCCAUCAUAUUGUCCAAUAGCUUGUUAGGUUACUGUACAUAUGAAGGUAUGUAAUAUCUUGAUAUAGUAGACAUAGUGUACAAUUGUUCCUGAUAUCCAUAUGGUACUGUAGAUUGGAAACAAGUACAGUAAUUCAAUAAUACAUAGCAGAUUCCAUAUCCCAUUGCAUUAGAUGUAUUGUAAUAUAUCCAAUCUUGUAAAUCAUUCUUGUUUUAAUAGAAAUACAUUUCUGUUAAUCCAGAAGCUCCCAUCCAUUUUCAUGAGAUGUACAGUAACAUAUCCAUAUUAUAUUUUGGCUGUAACAACCAUUUAGUUUCAUCCAGCAGUUAACAUGGCACCAUUCACAUCCAUCAGAAUUGCAAAACUAUAGAAAAAAAUAAUUGGAAGCAUGAGAUAUUUAUGUGGAAACAGUGGCACAUAACUGAGUCAAAAUAAAAGUAGGGCAGGGGGAGGGGUUAAACAAACAAAAAAACUUACCUUUCUUCUGUCUUGCAAAUCAUAAUACUUUCAUACAUACAGUGACAACAAGGAGUAAAUUAUUUAUUAUAUAAUAAAUUAAAUUAAAAGGGUAUAUAGUCAAACUACAUACCAAAC